UCCCUCUCAGGAUCACACCUGGAGAGUUUCCAGUACUCUAACAGUCUUGACUAUGGGAGGAAGAGUCAUGCAGAGGAUUGUCCAUUCCAUUCCUAGCUUGGCCAGUGGCUAGCAAGUGGAAGGCAAUCUGCUACAAGU